rnacentral:rRNA from 1 species
UACGAAGGGGGCUAGCGUUGUUCGGAAUUACUGGGCGUAAAGCGCUCGUAGGCGGAUAUUUAAGUCGGGGGUGAAAUCCCAGGGCUCAACCCUGGAACUGCCUUCGAUACUGGGUAUCUAGAGGUCGAGAGAGGUAAGUGGAAUUCCGAGUGUAGAGGUGAAAUUCGUAGAUAUUCGGAAGAACACCAGUGGCGAAGGCGACUUACUGGCUCGAUACUGACGCUGAGGUGCGAAAGCGUGGGGAGCAAACAGG